AUACUCCUAAGACAGAUGCCCUUGGUGAGCUUCAGAGAACUGAGCCCUAAGAGCUAGGGUGGCUAUGAGGAAUAGCUUCUGAGCCGGUGACAAGAGUUCCCUGAAGCCCCCAGCCAGAGACUAUCCUUUGAGGAGAAGUUAAUUUAGAUGUUAAAUGUUCUGAUGUUCUUAAUGGACAGACUUGUGUCCCCCUAAAAUUCACGUGUUGAAGCCAAACCCCCACUGAGACUGUAUUUGGAGACAAAACCUAUCAGGAGGUUGACAAUCACUGGUCAUACCCAUCUUCUGUGUUCCAGAUUCAUCUAUUCAGUUUCUGUCUGGAUGGCUCCACGUAGAUGUUCAUUAGGAACCUCAGUCAUAAUAGCACUAAUAUUU